AUGCUAAAGGCCCUGAGCAGUACCUGUGAUGGGAAAGCUGACGGCUGUGUUCAGUUAUGGCCCCUGUCCACGCCCAACAUGCUCAUAUUCACUCAGCUCCCUGACGAGAAAGAAGCAGGUCUUCUCAUCCGAAGCCUUAAUAGCUGUAGGUUCCAUCUCAGGAUAAGGAAAUGCUGCAUCUACAUCACUGCUUUGACGGCAGCAUCUAGCAGAGUCUCUGACUAGAUGACUAACUGGUGAAUGAAUGGAUAGAUGGAUGAUGAACGGGUGGACAGAUGGACAGAUGUGUGUUGGAUGUAUGGAUGCAUGAACAUCCAGUUAGGAGAGCAGGAACAGCCUCCUGAAAGAACUAUCAUGGAGAAGAAGAGGAUUAUGUUUGGGAACUUCAAGAGUCUGAGUCUGAAAUCAAUGAGCUGAGAUGUACCUUCUCUUGCAAUUCUGAUCAUGGAGGCUUCCUUUACCUUCCUAAAAGUCAUCAAUUCAGUCCAAUUCCAUCUAAACUUCCCCUCAGCCCAGUUUUCUGCCGGGGAAGAAUGGCUUCUCACCCAGCGGUCCCAGUCUCUCUCUCCUUUCUGCUCUCUACCCUGGCCCGCUGCUUCUCCAAUUCACUUUCCCACCAUGCCCUUGGAUUUAUGUAACUGAGUAAUUGUAAUUUGCACUUGUGCUUGGGCAGGGAAGUGACAAGAGCUUUGCAGUGGCCUUGAGGGGCAGAAAUCUCCCUCGCCCCAUCUCUACACACCCUUCUCAGGCUCAAAGCGCCAGUGGCCAACUCCAUCCACACAGGCCCAGCACCAAGCCAGUCACAGAAAGAAAUUAAAAGAAAAAUCCUUCCAUUACUGCAAAGUCAAGCUCCCUAUGGCAUUCUCCCCAUCUCCAGGCAGAGAUCACUGGUUCAGUCUUUCAGCCUUCUACAGGGCUCUGUCAGCACCUGUUCCCUUGGUCACAGACUGGGAGCUGAUGUGGCGUGUCUCUUCCUGCCAAAUCGAGGCACACUAAGACCAAACAGCAAAGGGGAGGUGCUUGCCCGGGUUGGGCUGCCCACUUCCCAGUUUCAGCGGUCUUCAUAGCUGAAACUGGAAGACCUAAAGAGAAUAAACAGAAAAGGUAUUCUGGAAGGAGUUGUAUG
ensembl:lncRNA